rnacentral:rRNA from 1 species
GAUGAACGCUGGCGGCGUGCCUAAUACAUGCAAGUCGAGCGAACAGAUGAGGAGCUUGCUCCUCUGACGUUAGCGGCGGACGGGUGAGUAACACGUGGAUAACCUACCUAUAAGACUGGGAUAACUUCGGGAAACCGGAGCUAAUACCGGAUAAUAUAUUGAACCGCAUGGUUCAAUAGUGAAAGACGGCUUUGCUGUCACUUAUAGAUGGAUCCGCGCCGCAUUAGCUAGUUGGUAAGGUAACGGCUUACCAAGGCAACGAUGCGUAGCCGACCUGAGAGGGUGAUCGGCCACACUGGAACUGAGACACGGUCCAGACUCCUACGGGAGGCAGCAAUAGGGAAUCUUCCGCAAUGGGCGAAAGCCCGACGGAGCAACGCCGCGUGAGUGAUGAAGGUCUUCGGAUCGUAAAACUCUGUUAUUAGGGAAGAACAAAUGUGUAAGUAACUAUGCACGUCUUGACGGUACCUAAUCAGAAAGCCACGGCUAACUACGUG